rnacentral:rRNA from 1 species
UACAGAGACUGCAAGCGUUAUUCGGAUUCACUGGGCGUAAAGGGUGCGCAGGCGGCCAAGUGUGUGAGGCGUGAAAGCCCGGGGCUUAACCCCGGAAUUGCACCUCAAACUACAUGGCUAGAGCAUUGGAGAGGGUAGCAGAAUUCAUGGUGUAGCAGUGAAAUGCGUAGAUAUCAUGAGGAAUACCAGAGGCGAAGGCGGCUACCUGGACAAUUGCUGACGCUCAGGCACGAAAGCGUGGGGAGCAAAAGGGAUUAGAAACCCCCGUAGUCC